GAAAUAGGAAUGUUUCGCUCUCGCAAAAAAUCAAUAAGUCUACCGUCUGACCAUAAGUGAAUAAUUUCUUUCAUAUAUGGUGCAGGCUGGCUAUCUGUAAUAUUUGUCACUUUGUCUUGCGAUUUUCUUUCCUCAAUAUCGUAAUAACGUCUAGCCAAGACGAUUAGGUCGUCAUGUGAUGCACCAAUUGGUACUGUAAUGUUUUUCUGAUCCAACAUAGAAAGGAGUAGAUUAUUUGACCAGGAUUCCAACUCAUCAUUGGUG